UACAGAGGUGGCAAGCGUUGUUCGGAAUUACUGGGCGUAAAGGGCGCGUAGGCGGCCCUCUAAGUCGAACGUGAAAUCCCUGGGCUCAACCCAGGAACUGCGUCCGAGACUGGGGGGCUAGAAUCCGGGAGAGGGAUGUGGAAUUCCAGGUGUAGCGGUGAAAUGCGUAGAUAUCUGGAGGAACAUCGGUGGCGAAGGCGGCAUCCUGGACCGGUAUUGACGCUGAGGCGCGAAAGCCAGGGGAGCAAACGGG
rnacentral:rRNA from 1 species